UACGAAGUAGGCUUCCGCAAGGACACUCGUAGAGGUGCUGCAUGGCUGUCGUCAGCUCGUGUCGUGAGAUGUUGGGUUAAGUCCCGCAACGAGCGCAACCCUUGUUUCCUGUUGCCAUCACGUUAUGGUGGGCACUCUGGAGAGACUGCCGGUGACAAACCGGAGGAAGGUGGGGAUGACGUCAAGUCAGCAUGGCCUUUAUGUCUGGGGCCACACACGUGCUACAAUGGCCGGUACAAAUCGUCGCAAACUCGCAAGGGUGAGCUAAUCGGAGAAAGCCGGUCUCAGUUCGGAUUGUAGGCUGCAACUCGCCUGCAUGAAGUUGGAAUCGCUAGUAAUCGCGGAUCAGCACGCCGCGGUGAAUACGUUCCCGGGCCUUGUACACACCGCCCGUCACAUCACGAAAGCUGGCUGUACUAGAAGUAGCUGCGCUAACCCGCAAGGGAAGCAGGUUCCUAAGGUAUGGUCAGUGAUUGGGGUGAAGUCGUAACAAGGUAACCGU
rnacentral:rRNA from 1 species